rnacentral:rRNA from 1 species
GAUCAUGGCUCAGGAUGAACGCUGGCGGCGUGCUUAACACAUGCAAGUCGAGCGAAGCAAUUUAAGUGAAGUUUUCGGAUGGAUCUUAGAUUGACUGAGCGGCGGACGGGUGAGUAACGCGUGGAUAACCUGCCUCACACAGGGGGAUAACAGUUAGAAAUGACUGCUAAUACCGCAUAAGCGCACGGUACCGCAUGGUGCAGUGUGAAAAACUACCGUGGU